AUUGUGUGAAUACAUAGCACAUUCGAGGUAGACGCAGAGAACUGAAACAUCUAAGUACCUGCAGGAAGAGAAAGAAAAUUCGAUUCCCUGAGUAGCGGCGAGCGAAACGGGAAAAGCCCAAACCAGCAAGCUUGCUUGUUGGGGUUGUAGGACUCCAAUAUGGUAGUUCUUUCAGAUAGUCGAAUGACUUGGAAAAGUCAGUCAAAGAGGGUAAAAACCCCGUAGACGAAAUGUGGAAGACACCUAGGAGGAUCCUGAGUACGGCGGAACACGAGAAAUUCCGUCGGAAUCCGGGAGGACCAUCUCCCAAGGCUAAAUACUCCCUAGUGACCGAUAGUGAACCAGUACCGUGAGGGAAAGGUGAAAAGCACCCCGGAAGGGGAGUGAAAUAGAACCUGAAACCGUGUGCCUACAACAAGUCAAAGCCCGUUAAUGGGUGAUGGCGUGCCUUUUGUAGAAUGAACCGGCGAGUUACGAUUGCAUGCGAGGUUAAGUUGAAGAGACGGAGCCGCAGCGAAAGCGAGUCUGAAUAGGGCGUUUGAGUAUGUAGUCGUAGACCCGAAACCAUGUGAUCUACCCAUGUCCAGGUUGAAGGUGCGGUAAAACGCACUGGAGGACCGAACCCACGUACGUUGAAAAGUGCGGGGAUGAGGUGUGGGUAGCGGAGAAAUUCCAAACGAACUUGGAGAUAGCUGGUUCUCUCCGAAAUAGCUUUAGGGCUAGCCUCGGAAUUGAGAAUGAUGGAGGUAGAGCACUGUUUGGACUAGGGGCCCAUCUCGGGUUACCGAAUUCAGAUAAACUCCGAAUGCCAUUCAUUCAUAUCCGGGAGUCAGACUGUGAGUGAUAAGAUCCAUAGUCGAAAGGGAAACAGCCCAGACCACCAGCUAAGGUCCCAAAAUAUAUGUUAAGUGGAAAAGGAUGUGGGGUUGCACAGACAACUAGGAUGUUGGCUUAGAAGCAGCCACCAUUU
rnacentral:rRNA from 1 species